UUUCCGUAGGUGAACCUGCGGAAGGAUCAUUAUUGAAUAUUCUUGAUGGGUUGUAGCUGGCUCUUCGGGGCAUGUGCACACUUGUCUUGACUCUAUUCAUCCACCUGUGCACCUCUUGUAGUCUUGGGGGUUGAGAUAAGUCGACUAUCGGAUGGCUUUAUAGCCUUUCGGACGUGAGGAAUGCUGAGUGCGAAAGCAUACAGCUCUUCUCAAAUGACUUGUAAAACCUCUCCCUCGAGUACUAUGUAUUCAUAUACCACAUAGUAUGUUGUAGAAUGUGAUCAAUGGGCCUAUGUGCCUAUAAUAAUCAUAUACAACUUUCAGCAACGGAUCUCUUGGCUCUC
rnacentral:misc_RNA from 1 species